UUUCCGUAGGUGAACCUGCGGAAGGAUCAUUAAAAAUCCACGUGUGUCUUAUUGACACUUGUUGAAAUGUUGAGCGGUGGUGAGGAGGGGGGAGGGGCAACCCUCUCUCUCCCUUGCCCCACUCUGCCAUUAUUAUCACUUGUAUUAUCUCUGUGUUCAGCUUUAUGAUCACAAACUUACACAACUUAUAACAAUGGAUCUCUAGGCUCUU
rnacentral:misc_RNA from 1 species